rnacentral:sRNA from 1 species
UACACUGGUUACUAAAAUCGCAUGCGGC